rnacentral:rRNA from 1 species
UACGUAGGGUGCGAGCGUUAAUCGGAAUUACUGGGCGUAAAGUGUGCGCAGGCGGCCAUGCAGGUCGAGUGUGAAAGCCCCGGGCUUAACUUGGGAAUUGCGCUCGAAACUACGUGGCUGGAGUGUGGCAGAGGAAGGUGGAAUUCCACGUGUAGCGGUGAAAUGCGUAGAGAUGUGGAGGAACACCAAUGGCGAAGGCAGCCUUCUGGGCCAACACUGACGCUCAUGCACGAAAGCGUGGGGAGCAAACAGG